GAUGAAGAACUUAGCGAAAUGCGAUAAGUAAUGUGAAUUGCAGAAUUCAGUGAAUCAUCGAAUCUUUGAACGCACAUUGCGCCCGCCAGUAUUCUGGCGGGCAUGCCUGUUCGAGCGUCAUUUCAACCAUCAAGCCCCCGGCUUGUGUUGGGGACCUGCGGCUGCCGCAGGCCCUGAAAAGCAGUGGCGGGCUCGCUGUCACACCGAGCGUAGUAGCAUACAUCUCGCUCUGGGCGUGCUGCGGGUUCCGGCCGUUAAACCACCUUCAUAACCCAAGGUUGACCUCGGAUCAGGUAGGAAGACCCGCUGAACUUAAGCAUAUCAAUAAGCGGAGGA
rnacentral:misc_RNA from 1 species